GUGCGGGAAAGAUGGUGAGUAAUCUAUCUGUUGCUUGGCAAAGCUUAAUGUACCUGUGUUUGCAAAAAGUAGAUUAUCAAGAGAAGACAUCCUUCAAAUCAAAAAUGUAAUUUUUAACAAACAAAUGAAGUCAUAUUGAAGUCACCUCCACAGGACCAGAUGAGCAGCAAAUGAAGAGCAUGAGAAUCAGGAACUGAAAAGUCAGCUGUUUGCACAACUCUAGUGAAGAAUCAAGCAGUUAAAGAAUGUGUUGGGGAAUUUUGAAAGCUUAAGUUAUGAGAUAUUACAUUCAAGGACAAUUUUCAUAACAAUAUUUUUAAAAUAAUCAUCUACAGUACCACCAUGAGAUUUUCCCACUGUCACUCAACACCAUUGCGCUAAACAUUACACCAGGGACAAAGAAAUAGAAAGCAAUGGGGAAAAAAGAAAAGAGAUUAAUUUACUGUGGACUUUGUUUUUAAUUGAAUGGGUUGCCUUCAUAAACCACCUCAAAUCAAGUAGCUGUCAUGUGAUGGGUUCUGUGUAUGGAUCAGAAGUGGCAUACAAAACAAGUGAGCUGUCUAUAUCU